rnacentral:rRNA from 1 species
GGGGAAUCUUGCGCAAUGGGCGAAAGCCUGGCGCAGCAACGCCGCGUGGGGGAUGAAGGCUCUCGGGUCGUAAACCCCUUUCAGUGGGAACGAAAUUGACGGUACCCACAGAAGAAGCACCGGCCAACUACGUGCCAGCAGCCGCGGUAACACGUAGGGUGCAAGCGUUGUCCGGAUUUAUUGGGCGUAAAGGGCCCGUAGGCGGUUUGAUAAGUCGGGUGUGAAAACUCCAGGCUCAACCUGGAGACGCCACUCGAUACUGUCAUGACUUGAGUCUGGUAGGGGAGUGCGGAAUUCCUGGUGUAGCGGUGAAAUGCAUAGAUAUCAGGAGGAACACCGGUGGCGAAGGCGGCACUCUGGGCCGGUACUGACGCUGAUGGGCGAAAGCGUGGGGAGCAAAC